CCUACGGGUGGCAGCAGUGGGGAAUAUUGGACAAUGGGCGAAAGCCUGAUCCAGCCAUGCCGCGUGUGUGAAGAAGGCCUUCGGGUUGUAAAGCACUUUCAGUGGGGAAGAAAGCCUUGGGGCUAAUACCCUCGAGGAAGGACAUCACCCACAGAAGAAGCACCGGCUAACUCCGUGCCAGCAGCCGCGGUAAUACGGAGGGUGCGAGCGUUAAUCGGAAUUACUGGGCGUAAAGCGCGCGUAGGCGGUCUGAUAAGCCGGUUGUGAAAGCCCCGGGCUCAACCUGGGAACGGCAUCCGGAACUGUCAGGCUAGAGUGAGGCAGAGGAAGGUAGAAUUCCCGGUGUAGCGGUGAAAUGCGUAGAGAUCUGGAGGAAUACCAGUGGCGAAGGCGGCCUUCUGGACUGACACUGACGCUGAGGUGCGAAAGCGUGGGUAGCAAACAGGAUUAGAUACCCGGGUAGUC
rnacentral:rRNA from 1 species